UAUUCGUACUCGUACUCCAACUGUUGCCAAUCGAAAGAAGAAACAGAAACCGAAACAGCAACAGCUCAAUGAGAGAUACGUGGAGCCGGUUCGGUUCGGCUCGGCUCGGCGACAGGCAUCACUGGCUACGUCAUACGCCACCGCGAUGUGUGUCAACUGAGAAUGCUGAAAUAUGGUUUUACUUAAUCGAAAAGUUGAUAACACUCCCCGAGUAUGGACCUUAAAAUGUUGUUAAUAUAAUUAACACCAAUGAAAUAUCGUAUGUACACACUCAAAAUUAUGAAAUAUUCACUAAAAGUGUAAUGGACGAAAAGGAAUGGGGACAAAACGAAACAGAAAAUCGAAUGCAAAAUGGGAAUUGAAGGUUUUCGGUAUGGAUUGUAUUCAGAGAAAAAUAUAGACAUAUAUAUCCUUUAUUAAUAGAUUCAGAUGAUAGGCCUUUUAUUCUUGAAUAAUAUAAAUUCUAAAGGCAUUAUGUUCUAUUCUUAUAAGCAUGUCGCAUACCUGUCCAAGUGUUUAAUUGCCCCCCCAAUCUUACAAUAUUUUAAUGUAUUUAUGUCUGAUUUUCCUCUUAAUUUAUCUGGCACACACUUUAUAUUAUGCAUCGCCACUUGACUCCAAUGAUAUUUCCAUUAAUAAAACAUUUGAUUUCGUUUGACUAGCGCCGUUUACUGCUUAAUGCGGCCGUUAAGUGAUUUUUAUAAGGCAAUCAACAGUUGUUCCAUACGAGCGCAUUAUUUCUCCCCCCAAAGCCCAAACCCAAAACGCCGGCAAGGCCUUAACCAACAUUCGGCUAACGAGCAUUAAACAAUUACGACAACAAUGCAAUCAACUCUAAUUUCGGUAUACAUAUGCAUUUCACAAGCAGCAAUUAUUGUAUGAUGCUAAGUGAGUGAAUGCCCCUAAUGUCUGGCCUGUUCCGAUUCCACAGUUCCCUAAUACGCAAAGGGCUUUUGGCGGGAAAGCCCCGUUCCAGCAUCCAUAUGACCUUGAUAAAUACCUUCAAAUAUCUCUAGACAGGUACUAUAUUGUACCAUCUUUGAGUGAUGUUCCAGAUAUGUUUUGUAGAAUACUCAAGAAGACAGUAGGAAAUCCUUUAACAACUUCAUACGAUGGAAAUGCUAAGGAAUAUUAGAGGCAAAGGACGUUAUCUUUCGCUUGAAAAGACACUCGAAAUGUAAAGCAAAGAUCUAUAAAUACACCUACAAAUUGUAACAUAUCUAUAGAAAACUAUCAUCACUUAAAGAUGUGUCUGAAUGCAUGGACAAUCAAUCAUGGGCCCCAUUUAAUCGUAACCGUGAGAUGGGGCUUUCCAUUAAUAUCAGGGGACUCCACGGCACUCCACCAUGAAAGGGAGACAGACAGAGUAAAUAAACUGAGCGAAAUGAGUUAAUAAUAAUUUGUUACGUUUAUGUGAGUUAACUGUUAAAUGGCUAAUAAAAGACAAACAAAUUGCGUCA